AGGAAGUUAGUUAAAAGAUAAUAUAAGGUUGUCAGCCUUGAGUUACUAGUAUAUUUAGUAUUUCUUA
rnacentral:tRNA from 1 species